rnacentral:rRNA from 1 species
UACGGAGAGUGCAAGCGUUGUUCGGAAUUACUGGGCUUAAAGCGCGUGUAGGCGGAAUGUCAGGUGCCGUGUGAAAGCCCCGAGCUCAACUCGGGAAUUGCACGGCAAACCGGCGUUCUUGAGGCAGGCAGAGGUGACUGGAACGACUGGUGGAGCGGUGAAAUGCGUAGAUAUCAGUUGGAACGCCGGCGGCGAAAGCGAGUCACUGGGCCUGUCCUGACGCUGAGACGCGAAAGCGUGGGUAGCGAACAGGAUUAGAUACCCCCGUA